rnacentral:rRNA from 1 species
UACGGAGGGUGCUAGCGUUGUUCGGAAUUACUGGGCGUAAAGCGCGCGUAGGCGGCUUGGCAAGUUGGAAGUGAAAUCCCGAGGCUUAACCUCGGAAUUGCUUUCAAAACUGCCAAGCUUGAGAAUGGUAGAGGAAAGUGGAAUUCCUAGUGUAGAGGUGAAAUUCGUAGAUAUUAGGAGGAACACCAGAGGCGAAAGCGACUUUCUGGGCCAUUUCUGACGCUAAGGCGCGAAAGCGUGGGGAGCAAACAGGAUUAGAACUCC